rnacentral:ncRNA from 1 species
CAGAAUAGGAGUACCGCGUCAAGUGCCGGCGGAUGGGAAGUGGCCGCCGGACGAAAAGGCAGCUGUCUUGCGGUGGUGCUCCGCUUCCGCUGU